UUUAAAAGUAUCUUUAAGAAAGGUAUUUUUUAAGAAAUCUUUUUGGAGUCAAAAAGAGAUAUUAAGAAUUAAGAAAGGAGGGGGCGCCUGGAUGGCUUAGUUGGUAGAGCAUGGGACUCGCAAUCUCAGGGUCUUGAGUUGAAGCCCCACAUUGGGUAUGGUGCCUCCUUUAAACAAAUUUUUUUUUUCUUUAAGGAAUCAAGAAGAAAGGAAAUUGCAAAUGGAUCUUUGAAGGAUGGAAGGGACUUAGGUCAGCAGAGAUGAGCUGGCUGGGGAGGCUGCCCUCCGCAGGAGGAACACUGCAAUCAAGGACACAAAAUAAGAAAUGGAUGGAGUGUUCAAGGAACACCAGAAGUUGGUUUGGUUGAAGCAUAGGACUCAAGGUGGAGAAAAGUAGGAGACAAAGUCCAGGAAAAUAAGAUGGGGCCAUGGUCUCGGAUGCCAAGCUAAACCUUUUGUAAUUUGCGGUUGAGAAGAACCCCUGGAGCUUGAACUGUGCAGGUGAUAAAUUUUAAAGUAAAUUUUCCCAUAACCUCUUACUUAAUGAGGUUCUGGAUCUCAGCCCUUCUAACUUAAUGAUAUUUGGAUAUUUGAUUGACUCAGCAGUGAGAUUGAACUUCAGACAACGCUGGACUACCACCUGUAAACCAGAGACAGCUUUCCAUUUGAAUGAACAGAAUCACAGACUAAAAUAAAAGGGGGAAAUAAUGUAUCUUGAUUGUGACAGUACAUAGAAGCUGUUGUAUCCACCACUGUUGGAAUAUGAUAGGGAAAGUCUCCUGUGGUACCUCCCCCACUGGCUGAACCCAAGAGGAAGCCUAAGGACAAGUGAGCCCAGAUGACAGUGUCCUUCAAGGCCAGCCUCUGGAAAAGGACGGCGGGUGGAUCUGGGAAGACAAAGGCAGAAUAUCUAGCAGAUGGGAAGAAGCGUUGACACUACUGAGGAGAAGGAAUACUUCUCUUGGCACCCAGGAAAGGCAGAAAGACUUGGAAGACAUGUGUGUGCUCAAGAUUUUGUGUUUAUUUAGAGUUAUUCUCCUUCCCACUCACAUGUAUAAGCAUAUGGACUUUUAAAGUUGGCAUGAUUGAGGAAGCCUAACUUGACACAGAAAAAAAUUGAGCCAGAGGACUGAGCCAACCUUUCUGUAGUGAGAGAACUGAUUGGACGUGGCUGAGAAAGUUGCCUCUGACGACCCAAGACAGCUGUGUGGCCACCUGAUUCACCCAACCCUCUACCCAAAUGGUAGCUUCCUGGGAGAAUCAAUCUCCCCUUAAUUCAAGAGAACAGAGGGCAAACAGUUUGCAUGUG
rnacentral:lncRNA from 1 species